UGUUUCUUGCCACCUAAUAAGAAAUAAAUUUCCUGCCCAAUGUUUAUAUCAAUGGCUGCGGUAUCCUAACCGUACAAAGGUAGCAUAAUAAAUUGCCCAUUAAUUGUGGGAUAGAAUGAAUGGAGUAAUGAGAAAGAAACUAUAUAAUUAAUAUAAACUUAAACUAACUUUAAAGUGAAGAGGCUUUAAUCAUCUUAAAGGACAAGAAGACCCUAUAGAGCUUAAAUUAAUCUACUUAAUGAGUAGGUCCAUUUUGGUUGGGGCGACCCCGGACCAUAUCAUCCAAUACUCAAAGAUAUAUCAAUCAUACAAUUGAUCCUCAACAAGAGAUCACUAAAACAAGUUACCUUAGGGAUAACAGGCUAAUCUUAUUUAAGAGUUCAUAUCUACAAUAAGGAUUGGCACCUCGAUGUUGGCUUAGAACACCUUUACAAGCGCAACAGCCCUAAAAGGGGGUUUGUUCAACCCUUAAACUUCU
rnacentral:rRNA from 1 species